rnacentral:rRNA from 1 species
GAUGAACGCUGGCGGCGUGCCUAAUACAUGCAAGUCGAGCGAACAGACGAGAGUGCUUGCACUCUCUGACGUUAGCGGCGGACGGGUGAGUAACACGUGGGUAACCUACCUAUAAGACUGGGAUAACUUCGGGAAACCGGAGCUAAUACCGGAUAAUAUUUAGCUUCGCAUGAAGCAAUAGUGAAAGACGGUUCUGCUGUCACUUAUAGAUGGACCCGCGGUGUAUUAGCUAGUUGGUGAGGUAACGGCUCACCAAGGCAACGAUACAUAGCCGACCUGAGAGGGUGAUCGGCCACACUGGGACUGAGACACGGCCCAGACUCCUACGGGAGGCAGCAGUAGGGAAUCUUCCGCAAUGGACGAAAGUCUGACGGAGCAAUGCCGCGUGAGUGAAGAAGGUUUUCGGAUCGUAAAACUCUGUUGUAAGGGAAGAACUAGUACGUUAGUAACUGAACGUACCUUGACGGCACCUUACCAGAAAGCCACGGCUAACUACGUG